UACGGGGGGGGCAAGCGUUGUUCGGAAUUACUGGGCGUAAAGAGCUCGUAGGCGGCUUGUCGCGUCGACUGUGAAAACCCGCGGCUCAACCGUGUGGCUUGCAGUUGAUACGGGCAGGCUAGAGUUCGGUAGGGGAGACUGGAAUUCCUGGUGUAGCGGUGAAAUGCGCAGAUAUCAGGAGGAACACCGGUGGCGAAGGCGGGUCUCUGGGCCGAUACUGACGCUGAGGAGCGAAAGCGUGGGGAGCGAACAGG
rnacentral:rRNA from 1 species